AUUAACUGAUGCUCAGGUGUGUUUGCCACAACAGGGAGCUACGAAUUCCACCUUUCUUGGUGUGAAGGCCUCUCUUGGAGCCUACAUUGGUGCAGAGUCUGAUGAGGCUUCCGUGGGGCAGCCUGAAUAACCCAAGUCAGGUGCAGAGAAAGGAGCAGAGAGGAAAACAGAGAAGCUGUGGGGGAGGGCCACCCAGCACAGCGCAGCCCGCCCCAGCCGCCCGGGAGGCAGCUGGCCAGGAUGGAGGGGGACCUGCUGCAGCUGAGCCUGCCCGGAGGGUGCAGGGUGCAGGAUGGCUGCAGGAGCCGACCAGGACAGUGACAUCAGAAUGGUGACGUCACAGGCAAGCCCUCUGAACAGAGCCAAGGGAAGAAGACCAGAGCCCUGAGUCAGAAGAUGCGCCGUCCUGUGCUGCCUGGCUCUGCCAGGGGCACCCAGCUGCUCUGCUGGGUGUCCCUCUGUCUCCUAGGGGCAGGUCCGGCAGGUGCCGAAGUCAUCCAGACGCCCAGACACCUAAUCCAAGGCAGUGGGGGGACGGCUGUGCUGACAUGCCAACCUGUCUCUGGGCACAACAGUGUGCGAUGGUACCAGCAGACCCUGGGGCAGGGCCCCAAGUUCCUCAUUGAGUAUUUUGCACAGGCCCCGAGAGACAAAGGAGACAUGCCAGAACGGUUCUCAGCUCAACAGUUCAGUAACUACAGCUCCCAGCUAAACCUGAGCUUGCUGGAGCCAGGAGACUCCGCCCUGUAUCUCUGUGCCAGCAGCUAGACACAGCCCUACAGUGUGACCGGCUUUCU